rnacentral:lncRNA from 1 species
UAGGGGCCGUUUGGUUAGAUGUAAUUAUAAAUGCAGUGUAGUUAGAGAUGCAUGCAGUUUGAAAUACAACAGUUAUAAUUACAUAAAUCAUGUUUGGUUGGAUGUAGUAGAAAGCGCUGCAAUUAUAAAUAAUUUGUUUGGUUGCAUGCAGUUGAGAAAUAAUUUUUAAAAUUUUAUUAUUUUAUAUAUAUGAUGGUGAGAUUACCUCUAAUGUAACAAAGAAAAAUAAUUUUUGUUUAAAAAAUAUUAAGGAGGUAAGCAUACCUUUUAUUUAAAGUUACUCUCUCCAACUGCUGUAGUUGGAACUGCGACCAAUUUGGGCGUAGUUCGAACUGCUGCAGUUGGGCCUCCUCCUGCAGUUUCUACUGCAGCAGUUGGAGUUAAAUACAUCAAAUCAAACAUGAAAUUUGUAUUUAUAUGUAGUUACAACUGCAGUGCAGUUGCAACUACAUGCAACCAAACGGCCCCUUAUAGUGGCCAUUGUAAGUUUAUCAUAUGUUAAACACUCUCCCUCAUAUCUGAAAUUGAGUU